rnacentral:rRNA from 1 species
GAGUUUGAUCGUGGCUCAGAUUGAACGCUGGCGGCAUGCCUAACACAUGCAAGUCGAACGGAAACAGGACGCUGGGAUCUCUUCGGAGUGAACUUGUCGCUGUCGAGUGGCGGACGGGUGAGUAAUGCAUAGGAAAUUGCCUUGAAGUGGGGGAUAGCCCGGAGAAAUCCGGAUUAAUACCGCAUGCGCUCUACGGAGCAAAGCAGGCCUCUGAUUUAAGCUUGCGCUUUGAGAUAUGCCUAUGUCGGAUUAGCUAGUUGGUAGGGUAAAAGCCUACCAAGGCGACGAUCCGUAGCUGGUUUGAGAGGAUGAUCAGCCACACUGGGACUGAGAUACGGCCCAGACUCCUACGGGAGGCAGCAGUGGGGAAUAUCGGACAAUGGCGCAAGCCUGAUCCAGCAAUGCCGCGUGUGUGAAGAAGGCCUGCGGUUGUAAAGCACUUUUAUCGGGAAAGAAAAACUACAGGGUUAAUACCCGUGGGCCUUGACGGUACCCGAAGAAUAAG